UACGAAAGGUGCAAGCGUUGUUCGGAAUGACUGGGCGUAAAGAGCACGUAGGCGGGUCUUUAAGUCGAUUGUGAAAUCCCGGAGCUCAACUUCGGACUUGCAAUCGAAACUGUAGAUCUUGAAUACCCUAGGGGUUGGUGGAAUUGCACAUGUAGCAGUGAAAUGCGUAGAUAUGUGCAGGAACACCGGAGGCGAAGGCGGCCAACUGGAGGUGUAUUGACGCUGAGGUGCGAAAGCGCGGGGAGCAAACAGG
rnacentral:rRNA from 1 species